ACGAACGCUGGCGGCGUGCUUAACACAUGCAAGUCGAACGGUGAAGCGCCUUCCUUUUUGGUGGGUGUGGAUGAGUGGCGAACGGGUGAGUAACACGUGAGUAACCUGCCCCCUUCUUCUGGAUAACCGCAUGAAAGUGUGGCUAAUACGGGAUAUUCUGGGUCUGUCGCAUGAUGGGUCUGGGAAAGAUAUUGUUUCGGUGGGGGAUGGGCUCGCGGCCUAUCAGCUUGUUGGUGGGGUGAUGGCCUACCAAGGCGGUGACGGGUAGCCGGCCUGAGAGGGUGGACGGUCACACUGGGACUGAGACACGGCCCAGACUCCUACGGGAGGCAGCAGUGGGGAAUAUUGCACAAUGGGCGCAAGCCUGAUGCAGCGACGCCGCGUGAGGGAUGGAGGCCUUCGGGUUGUGAACCUCUUUCGCCAGUGAAGCAGGCCUGCCUCGUUUGUGGGUGGGUUGACGGUAGCUGAAUAAGAAGCGCCGGCUAACUACGUG
rnacentral:rRNA from 1 species